GGAACCCUACGGGAGGCAGCAGUGAGGAAUAUUGGUCAAUGGGCGAGAGCCUGAACCAGCCAAGUCGCGUGAGGGAGUACUGCCCUAUGGGUUGUAAACCUCUUUUGUCGGGGAGCAAAAGCCGGACGUGUCCGUCUGUGAGAGUACCCGAAGAAAAAGCAUCGGCUAACUCCGUGCCAGCAGCCGCGGUAAUACGGAGGAUGCGCGCGUUAUCCGGAUUUAUUGGGUUUAAAGGGUGCGCAGGCGGAUUUUUAAGUCAGCGGUCAAAUCGUGGGGCUCAACCCAAUCGAGCCGUUG
rnacentral:rRNA from 1 species